AGAGAGAGAGAGAGAGAGAGAGAGAGAGAGAGAGAGAGAGAGAUGUUGAUAAAAGGGUCAAUAUAAUUGAAAAUCAUGCAUCAGUGAUUUUUGUUUUUGUUUAAUUCUCAAAAGAUUUAAUCACAUUCUGUUCUAUUUUCAGCAGAUACUUUAAUAAUAAAGAAUGGGUGAAAAAAUUCUCACAUUAUCAUGCUGCAUAAUAGUACAUUUCAGCUGUAACAAAACAAAUAAUCUGAUGAAAUCUUCAACCACGAGAAUCUAGGAAAGGAUGUCAAGUCCAAAGAGAAGGCCAUAUAACAAAUGGUUGCUGAAUUCAUGAAGACUAGCUGGGUUGAUACAGUACUUUUCUACUUA